rnacentral:lncRNA from 1 species
UGAAUUCAUAAAACUUUUGUAAAUAACUAACACAUAUAUAAACAUAUUACAACAAUAUUAAUUAAUAAAAUAUUAUAUUAAAAUAUAAAAUUUUAAACAAAAUAACUUAAUUAAUAUUAAGCUUCAACCAAAAUACCAUAUUAUUCCAUAAAGCGAUUUUUCGUAAUGCAUAUAUGAUAUACUAGUGCAUUUCAAAGUAAAACUAGCUCUCCUCAUUUUUAAUUUGUAGAUUAGAGAUAAAAAAAUUGUUGAAAUCAGGAGAUAUUAAUACUUGUAAAUAUAUUAGAUCAGAACAAGAAAGUAAAAGAGAAACAUAAAAUAUUGCUAAAAACUAACUUUUAUCGAUGAUAUUAAUACUCGUGAAUAUAAGAACAAAAAAUAAUUGUACGAAAAGACAUCAUCAACAACAACAAUCAUCUUCAAUUACACAAAAAAAAUUGGACAAUAUUUGGAAAUUUUAAAGGUUCCGGAUCAAAC